GGGUGCGAUCAUACCGGCACUAAAAGCACCGGAUCCCAUCGAACUCCGAAGUUAAAGCGUGCUUGGGCGAGAGUAGUACUAGGAUGGGUGACCUCACAGGGAAAGUCCUCGUGUUGCACCCC